AUUGAACGCUGGCGGCAGGCCUAACACAUGCAAGUCGAGCGAGCGGCGGACGGGUGAGUAAUGUCUGGGGAUCUGCCCGAUAGAGGGGGAUAACUACUGGAAACGGUAGCUAAUACCGCAUACUAUCGGAUGAACCCAUAUGGGAUUAGCUAGUUGGUGGGGUAACGGCUCACCUAGGAGACGAUCCCUAGCUGGUCUGAGAGGAUGAUCAGCCAAACUGGAACUGAGACACGGCCCAGACUCCUACGUGAGGCAGCAGUGGGGAAGAUUGCACAAUGGGCGCAAGCCUGAUGCAGCCAUGCCGCGUGUAUGAAGAAGGCCUUCGGGUUGUAAAGUACUUUCGGUAGGGAGGCGUUAACUGCAGAAGAAGCACCGGCUAACUCCGUGCCAGCAGCCGCGGUAAUUC
rnacentral:rRNA from 1 species